UGUUGAUAAAUUCAAAAUUUUCCCUGCCCACUGAGUUUUAUAUAUUAAAUGGCCGCAGUACUUUGACUGUGCUAAGGUAGCAUAAUAAAUUGGCUUUUAAUUGAAGUCGAGAAUGAACGGGACUUUAAUCAGGAUCUGUCUCAAUUAUAGAUUUAAAAAAAUUACUGAUUAGGUGAAAAUUCCUAAAUUUAGUAUAAUAGACGAGAAGACCCUUAGAGUUUUUAUUAAUUAAGUAUAUAAUCUAAGAUAUUAGAAUCUUUUCUAAUUUACUUAUAAUUCUACCUUAUAAAUUUUUGUUGGGGCAACAAGUAAACAUAAAAUGAAAACUUUAUAAAUCAGAUGUAUCAGUAAAUUAUAUUCAUAUAAAUCAUAAGACAAAAUUAAUUUUUUGAAUAAAUUAAGACUACCUAAGGGAUAACAGCAUAAUUUAAAAUAUAAGAUUAUGACCUCGAUGUUGGAUUAGGGUCUUACUAGGUUAACCACUUAGAAAGAAGUGUUCUGUUCGAACAAAUAUCUCUCCUACAUGAU
rnacentral:rRNA from 1 species